UACAGAGGGUGCAAGCGUUAAUCGGAAUUACUGGGCGUAAAGCGUGCGCAGGCGGUUCGUUAAGUCAGAUGUGAAAGCCCCGGGCUCAACCUGGGAACUGCAUUUGAAACUGGCGGGCUUGAGUAUGGCAGAGGGGGGUGGAAUUCCGCGUGUAGCAGUGAAAUGCGUAGAGAUGCGGAGGAACACCGAUGGCGAAGGCAGCCCCCUGGGCCAAUACUGACGCUCAGGCACGAAAGCAUGGGGAGCAAAAGGG
rnacentral:rRNA from 1 species